GUAAGAUGUGGUUUUGCUCCUCCUUCGCCUUCCACCGUGAAUGUGAGGCCUCCGCAGCAAUGUGGAACUAUGAGGAUUGGGAGGCACAGAGAGGCUAAGCAAACUUGGAGGUAAAGCCUGGAUCCAGACCCAGAGUCACCUUAGGCUAAGGAAACACAACUGAAGAGAAACUAAUUUUCUUCUAGACUACGGUUCAUCUGAGUGUCGUUUCUUUGUUUUUAACAUUUUGAAGCGGUCUGCAGCCUCCUCUCCAAAGUAAGGACAGGCUGGUGAGAGGAAGCGGAGACAGAGCUUCCCAAUGGCCCAAGGAUCCCAGGUGA
rnacentral:lncRNA from 1 species